UACGGAGGGUGCAAGCGUUGUCCGGAUUUAUUGGGUUUAAAGGGUGCGUAGGUGGCUUAUUAAGUCAGUGUUUAAAGUCUGCAGCUUAACUGUAGGUAUGGCAUUGAUACUGAUAGGCUUGAGUAAAGUUGAGGUAGGCGGAAUUGAAGGUGUAGCGGUGAAAUGCAUAGAUAUCUUCAAGAACACCGAUUGCGAAGGCAGCUUACUUAAGCUUUAACUGACACUGAGGCACGAAAGCGUGGGGAUCAAACAGG
rnacentral:rRNA from 1 species